CAUCAACAAACAAAACCUAAUCCAAGUUCCCUCCCGCUCCCCCUUCUCUUCCUUCACCGUCCGAUUCUCUUCUUCUCAUCGUCGUCCUCCUCCUCGUCUUCUUAUCUACAUCCAGGUUCCUCUCGCGUAUCUCCCAUCGAGGGGGAGAACGACGCCGUAAGCCGACCGUCUUCUAGAGUCGGGUCUGAGUAAAAGUUUCUCUCUUUCUGUACUGGAACUCCAGUGGCCAUUGAUGAUUGAUAUGUGAAUCUGAAGAAGGUGCAAUGGCGUUGGUAGUUCAUCAGAUGCAGAGUCCUAUUUCUCCACAUUCACCUAGUUCUAAACCAUCAACAAGAGGGGUGAACUGGAGAACCUUGACGGUUCAUUUCAAUAACAGAAUUCCUGAUUUUGCAUCAUUGAAGCAUGAUAUCAAUUUCAGGUCAGGUAUUCUCAUGGUUAGCUACAAAUGUUGUGACAGAGGGCAUCCUAUCUGUUUCAAGAAGAAAGCUUCCAGAGUUUCUUCUUUUAAAGGCAAUGCACAGAACAAUAGGCCUGAUAGAAAGGACUCAAAGAUUUCUAGACCACCAGUCCAGAUUUCUAGGAUGCAGCAAGGAAAAGAGGAAUUUCUGUCUGAAUCUCUUGAUAUCCAAAAACAUCCAGUACCUUAUGCACCUGAAGGGAACGAUAGCAUGACAGUGAGAUCUCUAGCAAUAAGAAAAUUAUUUGUGAAGUGGCUCAUCAUGUUGCGGUCACCACCAUCCAACCCAACAAUGGAUAAGAAUCUUAAUGAAAGGACAUCCCAGUAUGCUACAUCCAAAACUCAGCACAGUAUAGAUGGAACAAAGGCAGGGAGUAUUCCAAAAGCUAUGCUUGUAUACCUCUUAGGAGUUGAUGCUGCUAUAUCUAUCCCAUUUUUUAUAUUUAUCCCUUUGUUUCUAACUAUCAAAGUUGUCCACGGAGCUGAAGCAGCAAGGGACCUAAUGCCAUUGUGGAUAGCUGGGCCUCUUAUAGUUGCUCUCUAUAUAAAAGUGAUUCAGAGGAUAUGCUCAUUGUAUGCUUUCCUCUUUGUCCAGGGUGGUAAAUUCGUAAUGGAUCUGCCCAAGCAUGCUCUACUUGUAUACAGUUGCAUAGCUGAGGGAAAACUCAGGGCAUAUCUGUGGACUUGUUUUGUUAAGCCUUUCGUAGACAUCAGUGCCUUCAAAUACAAGGAUUAUUUUAGCCAGAAGUAUGAACAACUUAAAGUAGUGGCUGCCGAGAAUUAUAUCAGUUUGGUUGAAUCAAUCUGGCCAUAUUACUGCAGAACUAUCCGUUUCCUGAAGAGAGCCAAUCUCAUUUAGCAACUGAUUACCUCCCAACUACAUCUAUAUCUUACAGCAGUGAGCUCAUAGCUUUUUGCAGAUUGAGUGCGGAUUUUUCCUAAUGGUUCUUGUUGGAGACUGGAACAAAUUUUUACAAAUUGAACCUAAGAAUCCCUCCCAGAAGAACAAGGUGAGAAUAACAUUGAUGAGAUUGGAGGCUCAGAUGCUUGAAUGGACUGGACAGACAGUAUACAUUCCAAGGACCUUACAAGCUUUUGCAGAUUUGACGAUCAAAUGAUUUUCUUUUUUACAUAUAUACUAUCUAUGCUUAAGAAUGGUUUUGGAGAAGAAAAAUACAGUAUUAAAUUAUUUAUGCUAAUCUAUUUUAGUUUGUUAGACCUGGGUUGGAUAUUAAGAAGUUCUACUGUUUUAUUUAUGUUUAUAAUUUCGAGAUAUUCUAACA